GACGAACGCUGGCGGCGUGCUUAACACAUGCAAGUCGAACGGAAAGGCCCUGCUUUUGUUGGUUUCUCGAUUGGCGAACGGGUGAGUAACACGUGAGUAACCUGCCCUUGUCUUUGUGAUAACUUCAGGAAACUGGGGCUAAUACCGGAUAGGAUCUCCUGCUGCAUGUUGGGGGUUGGAAAGUUUCGGCGGUUGGGGAUGGACUCGCGGCUUAUCAGCUUGUUGGUGGGGUAGUGGCUUACCAAGGCUUUGACGGGUAGCCGGCCUGAGAGGGUGACCGGCCACAUUGGGACUGAGAUACGGCCCAGAAUCGUACGGGAGGCAGCAGUGGGGAAUAUUGCACAAUGGGCGGAAGCCUGAUGCAGCAACGCAGCGUGCGGGAUGACGGCCUUCGGGUUGUAAACAGCUUUCGACUGUGACGAAGCGUGAGUGACGGUAAUGGGUAAAGAAGCAACGGCUAACUACGUG
rnacentral:rRNA from 1 species